ACCUGGUCCUCAGGGCGCAUGCUUGGCCGGGGCGCGGAAGGCGGGGCGCAGGGGGCUGAGUGGGACCUGGCUGCGCUCCCACGUGGUCUUCCGCGGGGCCGCCGAGGGCCGAGCCUUGCUCACCGUGUCCGAGGGAUCUGAGUCCCAAGACGACACGCAGCAAACAGGAGGACGCUGGAAGGAUUCAAUAUAGAACAUUCACCCUUACUUGAAGUUUCCAAGUAAACCAAGUUUAUGCUUCCAAACAAACCAAGUUUUGUGUUUGUUUCAUGUAAAAAUGCCUCCUUUAAAUUACUAAAAUCUGAAGAAAACAUUCCGGCCCAUCAGAGAGUUCACAUGAGCACAAAACCUGUACAAGGCAAGCAAGUAGAAAAGACUUGGGGAAGUUACCGAUGUAGAUCCAUCCAGAUCGUAGAAAACUGGUGAAGCCCCAUCACUGUGAAGAAGGUGUGAAACACGUGAAAUGCUUGGGGGAAUGAGGAGUGAGCUACGUGGCUCACUCAGCUUCACUCACUUUUAUGCCCUCACAGGAGGAAUCCUGGUAGUGAGGGAAUCAAGUCUUUCAGAUGAUAUACAAAAUGAACUCUUGUGAUCUCCUGAUUUCCCUUAUGGCCCUGCCUCGCAGUUGAUCUCAAUUUUUACUGCCUCCAAUAUUUGUAGUGCACCCAUUCAGCUCUGCAACGUAACAGACCUUACUCUCCUGGGACUUCACUCUAAGGACAGUAAUCUAAUCAAUUCCAAGAAAAUACGGUAAGUGCUAAGAAAAGGUGAUGAAGAGCAGGACCCUGUCCAGAGGUGAGAAGACUUUCCAGCAGUGAUACAGGCUGGUGAGGGGAAGAGAGAGUGUUAUCUGCACAGGCAGCAGCCAGGGCAAAGUUCCCGAGGUAUGAGAACAAUUCACAGGUAACAAAACUUGAGGGUGGCCUGAGAGGUGCAGGUGUAUGACCCAUCUCCAGUCCUUCCAGACCCCAGUGAGAAUCUGAGCACAUACUUGGAAUAGCCAAGCCAUUCAGUAGUCUCAGUUCCCCCCCUCACAAAGGCAUUUUUUUCUUUUCCUCUUUUCAAUACCUUAUUCUUCCACUCCUCUCUCCAGGACAAGAACAGAGAUGUAGGAGGAGGCAGUGGCAAGGAGAGGAGGGAAGGGUGGAGCAGAGUGAUGCUCCUCAAAGUGGGAUUGUAUGUUUUGUAAACGUUCACCUAAUGACAGUCUUCAGGAAACAGCUCUUAGAUUCCCAGCACCGUCAAUCCGAUCAACUCUAUUACUCUGGGGCCUAGAAGUCAGUUUGCAGCCGCCUGGUUUAAUUCCCAGCAAGUUCUCAAAAGCCCUGCUAUUAAUGCUUUUCUUGAGUCUGUGGACCUAGAAGUGCCAUGAGUCACGGAGGGGAUACCCAAGGCAGUCCAUCAAGGUGGGGAAGAAAACACUUAAACUUCCAUAUAGCUUUAAUCUAAAAGCAAGGAAAGAAAAUAGAGUAAAAAAUGUAAGCCUUGGUAAGCACAGCCACUGAGGCUUGAUGGGCUCUGAGUAGGGUGUUCCUGACCUGGCUGGAGCCCGGGGCCCCCACCCGCCCCCGCCCUGCCCCUUCCUGUCACCUGGGGCCAACGAAAUGACCAUUAAGAAGUGAUGCCAUGGGACUUCCCUGGUGGUCUGGUGGCUAAGGCUCUGCCCUCCCAAUGCAGGGGGCCCGAGUUCCAUCCCUGGUCAGGGAACUAGAUCCCACAUGCCACAACUAAGACCCAGCACAGCCAAAUGAAUACAUAAAUAUUAAAGUGAUGAAACAGUCCAUUUGUCCUAAAGUAAGCUGCAGCUGUGGCUUUGCAAACAGAUUAGAACAAAAUUGUAUCUAUCUUGUUCUGUAUCGCAGAAGAGACUUACACAAGAAUUUAUCUCUGAAGCCUAGAAUUUGGCUUAGAAUUGUUCAUAUCUCUAUUUCCUCUUGAAUCAGAUUUGGUAAGUUAAUUUCUUCUAUGAAUUUAUCUGUUUCAUCUAAAACCUCGAAUCUUCCGGUAUGAUAUUAUUUGUAACAUUAUCUUAUCUUUGAAGUAUCUAAUUUUGAGCAGUUUUCAAAGUAUGUUCUGUGGACCUGUGUGGGUCCCUGCAACCAGGUGGUCUGGGAGGUCAAAACUGUUUUCAUAAGAUAGAUUUUUUUGUCUUUCUCACUGUGUUGACUUUGCAGUGAUGCUACAAAAGUAAUGGUGGGUGAAACUGCUAAUGCCUAAGCAUAAAUUUCAGGUAAUGGCACAAAACUGAACUAUUAUAUUCUUCAUUGCCAUGCAUUCAUAGUUUUUUUAAAAAUCCAGUUUCAUUUAAGAAUGUCCUUGAUGAAGCAGUAAAAGUAUUGAUUUCAUUUUAAAAAUAAUAAGCUUUAUCAGAGGUCCAUAGAAGGAAGGGUACUGGUGGCCGUAUGUGGGUCUCAUGUCAGACUGUAGCCGUUUUCAGACAAGGAUAUGAGGACCUGGGGGAGGGGGCAUAGGGAAGGGGGAGGGUGGAGAACACACAAAUCUUCCCAAAGAGUGUGAGGACACAGCCAGUUCUGAAAGAAUCAAUUCCCAGAUCCUUCUUUCUUUUUUUUUUUUAAGUUGUUUCAAACUAGUUUAUUUAGGGGUUCCAUUUUCACUCCUCAAUAGAUUUUAUGUAUUUCUCAUAUGCUUCUUCACUCAUUAGGUCAUCUAGUUCUGAAGGGUUACUGAAUGCUUUCUUGAUCAGCCAACCAUCUUCAUAACAAGAUUUGUUGACAAGUCCUGGAUUUUCUGCUAGAGCUUCAUUCAUUUCUGUUACAUCUCCUGAUAGAGGAGAGUGGAGUUCACUAGCAGCUUUCACACUUUCCAAAGCACCAAAUUCCUCGUUUGUUCAAUUUUGUCCCAACUUCAGGCAGACUACAGUAAACAACAUCUCCCAAAGCUUCCUGUGCAAAACUCCUGAUUCCCUUGGUUCCCACAUCGUUUUCUGUUGUUACCCAUUCAUGUUUGUGAAUUCACGACCCGACAGCAGAGCCGGGCCAGUGUGCCACGGCGACAGAGACGGUGCACAGGCUGCAGACCUCGGCCCUGCACAGUCCCCACAGCUUUCAGUGCCAUGUUUGCCGCAGAUCCUCAUUUUCUAUCUGUUCACAUUUAAAACUGCUCUCCUGGAAAGCAUCCCAGUGGCCAGGGCACCCUCUUUCUCGGUCACCUUCCCCACCUGGCAGAAGAUAGGCUUCUCGCCCCCAAAUCUUGCAAUGGUGCAUUGCCCUCAGGGUGUCAAAACUUCUGGGGUACCAAACAAAAGGAUUCUUUGGGAAUCUUGCGUCCAAUAUAUACUUUUUCAUUAUUGGAAUAAAAUUGCUUUACGAUGUUGUGUUAGUUUCUGCUGUACAAUGAAGUGAAUCAGCUAUAUGUAUACCUACAUCCCCUCCCUCCUACCCCCCCACCCAUCCCACCCAUCUAGGUGGUCACAGAGCACCAAGCUGAACCCGCUGUGCUAUACACCAGUUUCCCACUAGCUAUUUUACACAUGGUAGUGUAUAUAUGUCAAUCCUAAUUUCCCAAUUUGUCCCACCCUCUCCUUCCCCCACUGUGUCCAUACACCCAUUCUCUACAUCUGCGUCUGUAUUCCUGCCCUACACAUAGGUUCACCUGUACCAUUUUUCUAGAUUCCAUAUAUAUGCGUUAAUAUGUGAUACUUGUUUUUCUUUUUCUGGCUUACUUCACUCUGUAUGACAGGCUCUAAGUCCAUCCACAUCUCUACAAAUGACCCAAUUUCGUUCCUUUUUAUGGCUGAGUAAUAUUCCAUUGUAUAUAUGUACCACAUCUUCUCUAUCCAUUCAUUUGUACUUGGACAUUUAGGUUGCUUCCAUGUCCUGGCUAUUGUAAAUAGUGCUGCAAUGAACAUUGGGGUACAUGUGUGCUUUUGAAUUAUGGUUUUCUCAGGGUAUAUGCCCAGUAGGGGGAUUGCUGGUUCAUAUGGUAGUUCUAUUUUUAGUUUUUUAAGGAACCUCCAUACCGUUCUCCAUAGUGGCUGUAUCAAUUUACAUUCCCACCAACAGUGCGAAAGGGUUCCCUUUUCUCCACACCCUCUCCGGCAUAUAUUGUUUGUAGAUUUUUGAUGAUGGCCAUUCUGACUGGUGUGAGGUGAUACCUCACUGUAGUUUUGAUUUGCAUUUCUCUAAUAACUAGUGAUGUUGAGCAUCUUUUCAUGUGCCUCUUGGCCAUCUGUAUGUCUUCCUUGGUGAAAUGUCUAUUUAGGUCUUCCACCCAUUUUUUAAUCGGGUUGUUUGUUUUUUUGAUAUUGAGUUCCAUGAGCUGUCUGUAUAUUUUGGAGAUUAAUCCUUUGUCCUUUGCUUCAUUGGCAAAUAUUUUCUCCCAUUCUGAGGGUUGUCUUUUCAUCUUGUUUAUGGUUUCCUUUGCUGUGCAAAAGCUUUUAAGUUUAAUUAGGUCCCAUUUGUUUGUUUUUAUUUUCAUUACUCUAGGAGGUGGGUCAAAAAAGAGCUUGCUGUGGUUUAUGUCAAAGAGCAUUUUUCCUAUGUUUUCCUCUAAGAGUUUUAUAGUGUCUGGCCUUACAUUUAGGUCUUUAAUUCAUUUGGAAUUUAUUUUUUGUGUAUGGUGUUAGGUAGUGUUCUAAUUUCAUUCUUUUACAUAUAGCUGUCCAGUUUUCCCAGCACCACUUAUUGAAGAGGCUGUCUUUUCUCCAUUGUAUGUUCUUGCCUUUGUCAUAAAUUAGGUGACCAUAUGUGUGUGGGUUUACCUCUGGGCUUUCUAUCUUGUACCAUUGGUCUAUAUUUCUGUUUUUGUGCCAGUACCAUACUGUCUUGAUUACUGUAGCUUUGUAGUAUAGUUUGAAGUUGGGGAGCCUGAUUCCCUGAGCUCUGUUUUUCUUUCUCAGGAUUGCUUUGACUAUUUGGGGUCUUUUGUGUUUCCAUACAAAUUGUUAAAUAUUUUGUUCUAAUUCUGUGAAGAAUGCCAUUGGUAGUUUGAUAGGGAUUGCGUUGAAUCUGUAGAUUGCUUUGGGUAGUAUAGUCAUUUUCACAAUAUUGAUUCUUCCAAUCCAAGAAUAUGGUGUAUUUCUCCAUCCGUUUAUGUCAUCUUUGAUUUCUUUCAUCAGUGUUUUAUAGUUUUCUGAAUACAAGUCUUUUGCCUCCUUAGGUAGGUUUAUUCUUAGGUAUUUUAUUCUUUUUCUUGGUACCCCAAAACUUCUGGGGUACCAAACAAAAGGAUUCAUUGGGAACCUUGCUGCCAAUAUCGAGUAGGUGAAUAAGUCCUUUGUGAUUCAAGUGAUUUCCUAUUAUUUCCCUCCAAAAAAAAUGAGAGGAGGCCAAGGCCAUCGCUGGUGAUAGAUCACAAUAUGAUUUUGGCAGAUAAAAUUGACAUUGCUAUAACUAUAUUCCUUUCACCACUCAUCUCACUUAAGUAGGGAAUUCCCUGGCUGUCCAGUGGUUAGGACUCGGCGGUUUCACUGCCGGGGCCCAGGUUCCAUCCCUGGUCGGGGAACUAAGAUCCCACAAGCUGUGCGGGGCACGGCCUAAAUUAAUUAAUUAAUUAAAAAACAAAAGUAGCAGGGCGAUCAGCUCCGUGCUUUGCGAUGACCUAGAGGGUGGGAUAGGGAGGAUGGGAGGGAGGCUCAAGAGGGAGGGGAUAUGGGGACAUAUGUAUGCAUAUGGCUGAUUCACUUUGGUGUAGAACAAAAACUAACACAGUAUUGUGAAGCAGUUAUACCCCAAUAAAGAUCUAUUAAAAAAACAAAAAAAAAACCCCAAAAGUAGUAAUAGACAUAAUAUUUCAUUCCGGUAAUAAGUAAUGCCCAUCUAUUGAGAAAAACAAGACAGUUCCCUCCAUCUCACUGAGAUAAAUUCUAAUAAAAAUAACUUUUUGUUACUCAUAGAUCAGAUUUGUUACACAUUUCUUUUUUUUUAAAUAUUUAUUUAAGUUUUGGCUGCAUCGGGUCUUAGUUGCGGCAUACAGGAUCUUUUGUUGCGGUGCACGGGCUUCUCUCUAGUUGUGACACACGGGGUCAUUAGUUGCAGCAGGUGCGUAGGCUCCAGAGCAAGGGGGCUCAGUAGUUGUGGCACUCGGGCUCUAGGGCGCAAGGGCUUAGUUGCUCUGUGGCAUGUGGGAUCUUAGUUCCCCAACCAGGGAUAGAACCCAAGUCGUCUGCAUUGCAAGGUGGAUUCUUAACUACUGGACCGCCAGGGAAGUCCCUAUUGUACAUUUCUAUUUUGAUCAAUUGUAAAGUCCUACUUAUCAUGAUAACCCAAUCCAGGAGAAAUUUUUUUAAAUACUUAAAGCCUUAUAUUCACGGAAAACUUUAAUUAAAUUUCAGUUUAUAUACAAUUUUUUUUGCAGAGAAUUAUGGUAAGUCGAUCAGUUAUCAGUAGGUACCAAUCUUGUUUCAUCUGCAGUCCCACUCGUCCUCCUCCUGAUUAUUUUGAAGCAAAUCCCAGAUAUAACAUCAUUUUUUGUGUAAAUAUUAUUUUUCACACUUAAAAAAAUUGAAGUAGAGUUACAAUAUUAUAUGAGUUUCAGGUGUACAUUAUAGUAAUUCAGUAUUUUUAUGUAAAUAUUUAUUUUACAGAAUAAUUACAGUAUAAUUGCCCAUAUGAUAAGGACUCAUGAAACAUGGAACUAUGAAACCAAACCUCUGAAGGACAGAAUCGCCCCCAGCUGAGAACCACUGGGUUAGGGUGAAAAGGUCUCUCCCUGAGAUUAGUUAGGAUGGCUGCCUUCCUUCAGAGAACUGGUGAGGCUGGGGAAGGGCACCUUGGCUCUGGAAGCAGCAGCUGGAGCCGAGUACCAGAUUCCAUGACCACACUCCAAACGUGGCUUUGGGAAUAGCGUUGUUUCUCAUGUAGUUUGUCUCCUUUGAGAGAGAUUCAACCAAGUUCCUCAGCUGACUGAGCUCAAGCUGCAGUCCCAUCCCUGAGGGACAAUUGACAAGGAAGCUGCCCCAUCUUUUCUGCUCCAGGGCAACCUGGCUCCCAGGAUGUAGAAAAAAGGUUUUAGCCUAUUUGUCUGCGAGCUGCCUUCAUCCAGUGACACACUGUGGAAAGAGCUGGCCUGCAAAAGCUGCUGCCCUCAGGGUAAGACCCUGUGCCAGGCCCCAAGGCCAGCCUGGGAGCAAGGACUUCCACUCCACCCUUGUGCUCAGGAACCACCAUCACCAGGCCAGUUUCUCCCCAUCACCUGGCCCCUCCUGUCCAACAUCUCAAUAUAGGACCCAAGAGGACUCAAGACAGGUGUCUAGGGAAUUACCUGGUGGUCCAGUGGUUAGGACUCCACACUUCCAUUGCAGGGGGCACAGGUUCGAUCCCUCUGGGAACUAAGAUCCUGCAUGCCCCGGUGGCUUGGCCAAAAAGAAAAAAAAAAUAAAUUAAAUUAAAAAUAAAUAAAUAAAAAUAAAAUGCUUCUUUAAAAAAAAAAAAAAUACAGGGUCUAAGUACUCGGGCAUCCGGGACAGUGGGAGGGAGCAGGCUUGAAGCUCUGGGGAGGGACAGACAGGACAUCUGGAUGUCCUUCUAUUCCAGCUCUGUGCGUGUGAGCAUUCUUAGGGGAUCCACCUGGACCCCAAACUGAAUUAGAGGGGCACUCUAGUUAGUUUUUAGUGGUUAUUGGAAACGGAUGCAUGAUUCUAUAGUUCUCUUUCACCUUUACAUCAAGUGCCCUAAGAUUCUGUACGGGGAUGGCAUUUUUUCUUCACAUCCCUGGAAUAAGAGAGCCCCCUUUAUCCUGUCUUUUGGUCAGAACUGCUGUGCUAAUCCCGUUGGAUCACCACUUUACACCGCACAGCCCAGGGCAACAGCGGCUCUGGGGCAUCCAGCUGUAAGCGUUUCCUGCUCAGUAACUGGAAGUUCCUGGCCUCAGGGAGGUGUUAGCGCUGCAAUCCGGUGCUUCAUCGCGCGUGUAAUUUAGCCUCUCCAGGAUAACUCGCGCGAAGAAGGGGAAGGAGGGUGAUGAAGGGCCCCGGACAGCACGCAGAAUCCGAAGGCAGGAUCCUUCUCAGAGUUGGGAACUCAAGGAACUUUAAGGGAAGCAGGCAAUCCCUAAGCGAUCUGACCCAGCUUCCUCCUCUGUGGGUCGAUUCCAUUCUCCUCUCUACGAGCCCACUCCGCUUACUCAUGCGCAUGCGCACAGGACCCCAGGAUUAGUUAGGCGUCUCAGCCACCGUUUCUUGUCCGUACUGAAGGCUUCUCUGAGGCCAGAGGAAGGGAGAUAAUGUGCUUUUACAUCCAGGAGUGAGUCCCAUUGGUGGCCACAGGACAGGAAGGCCUCUGUUGGGAGGUCAGCUCACUUGUCAGUUAUUUUCAGAGGUGGCAAAAAUUCAUAUGGGUUUUUUGCAAAUGAAGUUUUCAAUUUUGGAUAAGUAGCCAGAUUCCCUGGAUGGCACAUGCUAUGAACGGCUAUGGCUGGGCUGGAGCCCAGAGUCUGUCUGCUUCCCGUGGGUGGAGGGCGGGCGUCCUGCACCCGCGCCCAGCAGGUCAUCUCCCAGGGGCCGCCACACUUGACUGCGGCCCUUCCGUUUAUCUCCACGGCCGCUGCUUGUUCCAGUAAGGCCUGCCUGUAGCCCUCGAGUCGUGACUGGCUCCCGCAAGAUGUUCCGAUGAAACUCCAGGGGAAGAGGUGUCUGAAUUCAACUGAUGCUUCUGCACCUUUAUACGUAGCAGGAAUUGAUGGCUUACAUGCUUGCACUUUUCCAGUCCCUUAAGUGUUAGAGGGGAUUUUCCCAUUCAGGGACUGCUGUAUGUAGAGGGUGACAGUGGAACACGGAGAUCACUCCUUAACCCUCCUUCCUUCCACCUCCGAUGGUCCAACAGAAACAAUAAAGACUGUGAAGCAAGAAAGGGAAAUCACAGCUUUUCUUAAAAACGGGAUUGCUGCCUGUGCUCUCAGAGAGGCCCCUCUCACUGCAACAGCGCCACCUGCUGACACAGCCACAAGGUACCUCUGCCACUGAAGAACUCCAGACCCAGGAGGCUUUGUAGCUCUCCAGCUUGAUACCCCAUUUUCGGAUGAGUCAAGUCGAACCUGACAGUUAACAAGAUGGGAAGAGCCUAAGAGGCCUCGCUAAGUCAAAUAGAAAUGGUAUAUUUAAAAGCGCAGUCAGCCUGGCCCUUGAGGGAUUUUACAUGAAAAAGUGGCAGCUACUUACCUUGGGAGAAACCACCUGAAACAAGGUCCUGAUUCUGGGGCCCUCAAGUGUCACAGGUUCCCUUAAAUGCCCGGCCUUGGUUCACUGAUGACUUAGCCAAGGUGAAACCUGAUGGGUGCGUUGGGUGGCCACUGCCAUCCAGCCUCAUGGCCAGCUACGUAAAACCGGAAGUGGAUGUCACGAUGGGCAGAAGUCAAGGCCAUUCUCAUCCUGAGUCUGGCCAGCACUCCCCUUGAUGAACCUCGUUACAUUUUACCGACUUGGGCUACUAGCCAAUGGCCUGGCUGCUUGGUUCACUUGGAAGAGGACAGAUAUGGAGAAUUAAAGACACACCCUUGGGGCGGUAAACUAUGGAAUCACACCUUGGUCCUAUCUGACAGAUGGGUCAUUCAUGUGGAUGCCCAGAGUGGGGACCUGGUCUCUAAGACUCCCUGGCUGUUGAUCAAGCCUGCACCGCCCAGAAGCUCCCUCCUGUUCCUGGUAAACUGACUCCAUCGAACCUUUAACACCUGCUAUGGGCUCUCUUGAUGCUGGUGUCCCUGUUCCAGGCCAGUCGGCUGACUCAGGCCACGUCAUUAUAGCCCUUGAAACUGUGUUAUGUUUUAGGCUUUGCAGAUCCUCUACAGUCUGAUAUUGAUGCACCUUCUGUUACAAAAGCCACUCACCGGGGGCCAAUAGUCAAGGUGUUGGAUGGACAUUCCACACUCCCUACCACCCACAGCAUCUGGGUACCACGCACUGGAAUGACCUCUUUCAAGUCAGCUCUACUUCCCUCACUUCCUUCUGGUCCACACACUGUAGUAAGGCAGCCUGGUCACUGAAUGUGGCUGUCCCUUCUUGGUUGGCCAUCUCUUGGGUAAUGAUCAGGAUGAAAGGGAUGGGGGGCUUUCUAGACUUAUUUUGAAAAUCCAAGAGUCUGCCCUGACCACUUGUUGGUAUGGCAUUUCUUUUCUUUCCCCUAAUAGCUACCCUAGGCCAGCCUGGCUGGUAGACUCUCUUGAGUACAGCCCAGUCAAAAGGGAGCCUAGAGAAUUCCAGCUUAAUUCUGGCCCAGCCAUCAGGAUUCUCUUGUUGGAUUGAUGUGGUUCUAGAUCAUGUGACUGAGGACACUGCUCUCUCCAGCUCCCCUAUAGUGGCUCACACUUGCUGUGGCAGGCUAGACAGUGGCCCCAAGAUUUCUGGGUCCUAAUCCUUGGAACCUGUGAAGGGGAUUUUGCAGAUAUGAUUAAGUUAAGAAUCUUCAGAUAGGGAGAUUAUCCUGGAUUAUCCCAGUGGGCACUAAAUGUAAUCCCAAGUGUCCUUAUAAGAGGGAGGUAGAGACAGAUUUUACAACAGAGGGCAAUAUGAUAAUGGGAAUAGAAGGACAAAGAGAGAGAUUUGAAGACGCUGCUAAAAUACUGGAUUUGAAGACAAGGAAGAAGCCAUGAACUAAGAAAUGUAAGGAAUGCAGUUCUAGAAACUGGAAAAGACAUCAAAAGGGAUUCUCCCCUAGAAGGAAUGUGGCCCUGCAGACACUUUGGUUUCAGAUCAGUGGAAACUAUUUCAGACCUCUGACCCCCAGAACUGUAAGACAAUAAAUGUGUGAUGUUUUAAGCCACAAAGUCUGUGGUAAUUUAUUUCAGCAAUGAUGGGAAACAAAUACAUGUGCCACAGUGGCCAGAGUAAUGGGUCUUUGUAAAUUUUGUAAAAAUGCCUCGUCACUCACACCUGACCCAUCUGAACAAAAGGUCUGGAAAUAGGGGAUAAUUGGAGAAAAGGAGAAGCCAUAGUUACUGGGAUGUGACAUCCACCACCAUCCAUAGUUACUUUUUCUUGUGAUGAGAAAUUUUAAGAUGUACUCUCGGGAAUUCCCUGGUGGUCCAGUGGUUAGGACUCUGCGCGUUCACUGCCGGGGGCCCGGGUUCAAUCCCUAGUCAGGGAACUAAGAUCCCACAAGCUGCUUAGCAUGGCAAAAAAAAAAUAAAAAAUAAAAAAAUAAA